rnacentral:rRNA from 1 species
GGGCCCGCACAAGCAGUGGAGUAUGUGGUUUAAUUCGACGCAACGCGAAGAACCUUACCAGGGCUUGACAUCCUCUGACGACGUAAGAGAUUACGUUUUCCCUUCGGGGACAGAGAGACAGGUGGUGCAUGGUUGUCGUCAGCUCGUGUCGUGAGAUGUUGGGUUAAGUCCCGCAACGAGCGCAACCCCUAUUGCCAGUUGCCAGCAUGAAAGAUGGGCACUCUGGCGAGACUGCCGUUGACAAAACGGAGGAAGGUGGGGACGACGUCAAAUCAUCAUGCCCCUUAUGUCCUGGGCUACACACGUACUACAAUGGCAACAACAGAGGGCAGCCAUGUCGCGAGGCAGAGCGAAUCCCAAAAUGUUGUCUCAGUUCAGAUUGCAGGCUGAAACUCGCCUGCAUGAAGUCGGAAUUGCUAGUAAUGGCAGGUCAGCAUACUGCCGUGAAUACGUUCCCGGGCCUUGUACACACCGCCCGUCACACCAUGAGAGUCUGUAACACCCGAAGUCAGUAGUUUAACCGCAAGGAGGGCGCUGCCGAAGGUGGGACAGAUAAUUGGGGUG